rnacentral:tRNA from 1 species
GCCGCGGUGGCACAACCUGGUACUGCGCCAGCCUUGAGAGCUGGUUUCCGAAAGGAUUUCCCAGUUCAAAUCUGGGCCGCGGCG